rnacentral:rRNA from 1 species
UAUUCCUACGGGGCGCAGCAGUGAGGAAUAUUGGUCAAUGGGAGAGAUCCUGAACCAGCCAAGCCGCGUGAGGGAAGACGGCCCUAUGGAUUGUAAACCUCUUUUGUCGGGGAGCAAAGAAGCCACGUGUGGUCAAAAGCGAGAGUACCCGAAGAAAAAGCAUCGGCUAACUCCGUGCCAGCAGCCGCGGUAAUACGGAGGAUGCGAGCGUUAUCCGGAUUUAUUGGGUUUAAAGGGUGCGUAUGCGGGACGGUAAGUCAGCG